AUUGAACGCUGGCGGCAUGCUUUACACAUGCAAGUCGAACGGUAACAGGUCUUCGGAUGCUGACGAGUGGCGAACGGGUGAGUAAUACAUCGGAACGUGCCUAGUAGUGGGGGAUAACUACUCGAAAGAGUAGCUAAUACCGCAUGAGAUCUACGGAUGAAAGCAGGGGACCUUCGGGCCUUGUGCUACUAGAGCGGCUGAUGGCAGAUUAGGUAGUUGGUGGGGUAAAGGCUUACCAAGCCUGCGAUCUGUAGCUGGUCUGAGAGGACGACCAGCCACACUGGGACUGAGACACGGCCCAGACUCCUACGGGAGGCAGCAGUGGGGAAUUUUGGACAAUGGGCGAAAGCCUGAUCCAGCAAUGCCGCGUGCAGGAUGAAGGCCCUCGGGUUGUAAACUGCUUUUGUACGGAACGAAAAGCCUGGGGCUAAUAUCCUCGGGUCAUGACGU
rnacentral:rRNA from 1 species